rnacentral:lncRNA from 1 species
UUUAGGGUUAAUGACAAUAUAUAAUAUGGUUUCCUAAAAAUAACAAGGGCAAAAUGGUAAUUACACUGUUCACACACUUGUGAACAGUCGACCAAACUUUGUUAUAUAGGUAAAUGAGGACAAAAACAGUUUCAAGAAAAUCAUGAAAAUCCAAAACAAAUGUUGAGCAUGAGCACAAAGCCGGCUUCAUGAAAAUCCUAAACAUUUUCAAAAUCAUUGUGGACAAAACCGAUUUCAUGAUAAUCCAAAAACAUUUUCAAAUGUCAAUUUGAUGACAAAGACUUUUGUCACGCCCAAAUUUUCGAAGGAUAAAUUUCAAAAAUUUGGGCAUGAUAUAACUCACAAAUAAGACUACAUGACCUGCUCAACAAAUCCCUACUAAACUUAAAUGCUGGAAAUGUAAAUGUCAACAAAACUCAUCGACUGAGUUAAACAUUACAUCUCUUUAUUUACAACUUCAAAAGUCUAGUAAAAAGAAGAUGCUCACACGAGCUUAAAACAACUUACAUAAUAUACAAAUAAAAUGUACAUCAUCUAAACCCCAGCCACUAUGCCUCUGCCUCAACCCUGUUGAUCAACACCUGCAAGUCUAACCCCUACACCAUGAAUUGGUGCACCGGGUUGUAAACAACAAACCCGGUAAGCUAAAAAACUCGUAUGAGUAAUUCUCAAAAUUUACUCAACAUCUCUAAUACCACAUAAGAUAAAACCGGUAAUUCCUGCUUUAGCACUUAGUUCAGGAAUCACUUCAAAACAAUAAAAUCAUAAGUGAAUCCUGCAAAAAAGNN